rnacentral:tRNA from 1 species
GCCAGUGUAGUGUACUGGUUUGAGCAUUGGACUAUGACUCUGGAGACCAGGGUUCAAUUUUCUGCUCAGCCA